rnacentral:tRNA from 1 species
GCGCCCGUAGCUCAAUUGGAUAGAGCAUCAGCCUUCUAAACUGAGGGUUGGAGGUUCGAGUCCUCCCGGGCGCGCCA